UACGUAGGGUGCGAGCGUUAAUCGGAAUUACUGGGCGUAAAGCGUGCGCAGGCGGUUUUGUAAGCCAGAUGUGAAAUCCCCGGGCUUAACCUGGGAAUGGCAUUUGGGACUGCAAGGCUUGAGUGCGGCAGAGGAGACUGGAAUUCCUGGUGUAGCAGUGAAAUGCGUAGAUAUCAGGAGGAAUACCGAUGGCGAAGGCAGGGCUCUGGGCUGAAACUGGCGCUCAUGCACGAAAGCGUGGGGAGCAAACAGG
rnacentral:rRNA from 1 species